UUGAACGCUGGCGGCAGGCCUAACACAUGCAAGUCGAACGGUAACAGGAAGAAGUUUGCUUCUUUGCUGACGAGUGGCGGACGGGUGAGUAAUGUCUGGGAAACUGCCUGAUGGAGGGGGAUAACUACUGGAAACGGUAGCUAAUACCGCAUAACGUCGCAAGACCAAAGAGGGGGACCUUCGGGCCUCUUGCCAUCGGAUGUGCCCAGAUGGGAUUAGCUAGUAGGUGGGGUAACGGCUCACCUAGGCGACGAUCCCUAGCUGGUCUGAGAGGAUGACCAGCCACACUGGAACUGAGACACGGUCCAGACUCCUACGGGAGGCAGCAGUGGGGAAUAUUGCACAAUGGGCGCAAGCCUGAUGCAGCCAUGCCGCGUGUAUGAAGAAGGCCUUCGGGUUGUAAAGUACUUUCAGCGGGGAGGAAGGGAGUAAAGUUAAUACCUUUGCUCAUUGACGUUACCCGCAGAAGAAGCACCGGCUAACUCCGUG
rnacentral:rRNA from 1 species